CGCGGUCCCCGCAGAGGCCAGAGCUCAGCCUCCGGGAGAGGGUCUCCAGACGGCCGGAGCGAAGUAGCCAGAGUCUGCGUAUCCAAGAGCCGUCCUUCAGGCGAGGCGAGGCGAGGAGAGAACAGUACUGAGACGGAGGGAAAACGAAGCAGCAGUCACGGCCAGGAGGGAGCUCGAGGGCGCGGCGGCGGGACUCUGCGGGACGCUGAGAACUCCGGAGACCAGCGGUACCUAAGGUGAGUUUGAAAAGAGACUUGUAGUGAGGUGGUAUUCAAACGUCACAGGCAUCGAGGAGAAUGGCAGCCAGUAAGAGACACCACGUGAAGCUGAAGUUUUCUUUGUGAGAUGUUUCUGGGUCAGCCAAGCCACAUGUGAAAAUGAGCGGUUGGGAUAGAGACCCUUCUAGCAUGAUGUUUCCGCAUCGCUACAGUCCUAAAACCAAUGAAGUCAACUGACCGUGGACUGAAACCUCAGGAACGGGGCUGCCUCCCGCUGAAGGUAAAGAGGGUGGUGAGACCAGGACAUCGGGAACACAGGACGCCUGAUUCUGGCCGACAACCUUCAGUGCCCUUGCUGAAAUGGCCCGGAGCUACAGGCAGUCUAAAGCUUCCCUCUUCCCUUCCUUUGCUCUCUCUUUCAGAGGAGUCUGGACUCACUGAGGUCUAACUGCUCUUCCUAUAACCUCUGGCUCCCUCUGCAAUUCUCUCCAUUGACGCUGUGCUGACAAAGCUCUUGUUGCCUUCAUCUCUGAGAAUAACUGUUUCUUAAAGACCUGGACAAGUGUAGACUGUGAAGUCAGCUUCCCGUGAAUGUCUCAUAGCACCUAGAAUGAUUAGCUGUGGCCCUAUGUUCCCGUAAGCCCUGGUGGCAUUUUGGCAGGUACUGCCUACCUAGACUAGGUCAGUUUUCUGGUUCAGCUCAGUUUCAGGACCCAUGGAUAAGUCCUUCGCUAGUGUUCUCCUCUUGGCUGUGGAGCUUCCUGGCCACUGACUGCCUUUGGGGUCACUGCAGGAGCAGAACCCAAAUGCCCAUCUCAGGCCAGAUCCACAGUCCACUCCUUGGACUGCACCCCGGUGUCUCCUCCGGGCCCACCACUUCUCUCUCUCUACUUACUUCCUCAGCCAUGAAAGCCCUCAUCCUGGUUUUCCUCACACACAGCAGCCCUUCAAGUUUCUCCAUUAGAAUGAAGUAGGUUGCGAUGCGGUUUUAAAAAAAAAUCAGUGACAUAUAUAGUGAUAAAAGCAACACAAGUUAACAGUCUUCAUGCCUAGUGUGAGUCAGUAGGCAGGCUUCGGUUUGCCACAACUACAUAGCUUCUCUCACCUGUGCUGCCCUGAUAUUGUGGAAGGAUAGACUGGGAUUGUGCUAUCUGCAAUUAAAAGUUUCUUCCCAGAAGUGACAGCUUCCAUUGGCCAAAGCCUGUCACUGGCCCAUGAAAAGCCAAGGAACUAAAUGGAAUACCUAAUGCCACGUUCCCCUCAAGUAAAUGGCCCUAAAAGCACAUAAACUCUGGUAAUUAUCUCUAGGAGACUAGGAGAGUUAAGUUUCCUGAAAGGAUGAGAAAAAUAAUUUAUAUCCUCCUAAGGUUGAGCCAAAAGAUUUCUAACACAGCCAAAGGAGAAAGGUUGAGUUUUCAAGUAUUAUUGCAGUCUCACCUCUACAAAUGUCUGUGUUGGUAAUGAGGAUGCAACCAGCAAGGGCAUGGGAUUAUUUUUAAAGGACUGUAAAUGUGAUCAAAAUAUCCUAUCAGUCACUUCUGCAUAACACUAUUGCAGCUCAUGGCUUCUUGCCUAGAUAGCAACUCUGCACCAGUUUCCGGGGAUCCUGGAGGAGGAAUGGAAAUUCCUCAGGCAGGCAAAAUGGUGAUACCUGCCAUUUUGUGACAGUGUGUAAUUCUUGUAAAACUGAGUGCAGGAGCUAGAUACCUGUCUCUGUGGAAUGGACAAUACUGGAAAUGGAACAAGAUAGGUGCCAUGUUGCAAAUGGCCUCAGAAGAAUUGAAUCAUCAUCCUGCUUGAUCCCUCUGAGAGCUGCAUUCCUCAGAGAUGGACAGGCAAGGAUUCUCCUCUCCAGCUGCAGCUAAAUGGCUCUCAUCCUAGAGCUUACCUUUUUGGCUCAUUCUUUUCUCAGCAUGUGGAGGACCAGUGAGAGAACUUUUAAACAAACAGUACAGUAUAUAGUAAAAUUCCAUUUACCUCCAAAUAAGACUAGGUUUCAGAGUUUAACUUCUUUGGGCUAC